AUCUAGAUGUGUUGACCUACUCCCUGGAAAACCUCUGCAUCCCCCCAUGGAUAUGCAUACUCCUGGUUGAGAACCACUGAUUUAAAGAAUCUGGG